GCCAGCAACCAUAUCACCCUGGCAGCCCACUGAAGCUCCGUGUGAGCCUGGUCAGUACCUGGAUGGGAGACCUCCUGGGAAAAACUGAGGGUGCUGCGGGAU
rnacentral:rRNA from 1 species